GGACUAUGAGGGGAGAGGGGGAUGGAGAGAGAGAGAGGUAGGCGGAGUACUCAAAGAACCCCCCACCUCUCACAAUGGCUAGCCAUAGAAACAGAUGUACUAUACAGUCCCAAAACUAGACCGUAGAUCGUCAACAAGUAUUUUUAGUUCUCACUGGAGCGACCCGUGAAGCUGCUAUCGACAGAUCAUUGACCCAGAAGUAGGUAAUAAUACUUAUGUUUACAUCUAGUGCCAUGUGUAUGCAUCAACAGGCAGCUUAUCUAAGUGCGGAGAGGGCGGUCACAUCUGCGGGAUUUACUUGCCGCUCAAAAAUGUUUUGCAGUUGACUGUUGUACACACACACAUGCUGUUAGCAGAGCUGAUGAUUGGUGGCAAUGGGUUUAUGGUUAAGCUAAUCUAGAAUGCUACACACCAGCUUCAGAUGGUUGAUAGUUCGUCUACCUAUCUUCUUGGUUGGAUCGCCAUUGUUUCCCGUCUACGCUGAAGCACAAAAGGUGUCCUGUAAAAUACCACCAGCAGAGGGCAUGCACAAUGCACAGCUGACUUGUUAUUUUCCAGAAGACAUCAGUCGUACAAAGAAGGACAUCACUGUUUAUCACUAUAACAGUGAUCCUAGUGAAUUUUCCCGCUUUUAAUUCGAGACCAAGACAUAAAUUCUCUUCUGGUUGAACAUCAAGUAAAAGAAUAAACGAUGUGAAUUCUCCUGCUGUAGAAGGUACAAAAAGUUCAAGCUUUGGUGUGGGAAGUGGAGGCAGAGGAGGUUUGCCGCUGACAUCCUCUUGGUAAUAUAGACAUUUGUUUCUUGGGUAGAUUUUCUUCCAAACCCUGUGCUGGACUGUUUAUGGAUCAGCGGUAAGGAACACUGUCUUGUGCAGCCUGGAUACGAGUUUAACAACGAGGUCUCUGAUAACCUCACUCUCCGGAUACUAAAUGUCUCGGAGAAACACACAGGUAGAUACAGUUGCCAGAUGUACGGCAGUCGAUCACGUGACAUCGACUUCUGCUACUUCGAGCUGGAGCGAGAUAAGAACGUGACCUGCGACAUUUCUGUGGUGACAGGUUCAAAGGCUAAUUUAACCUGUCACUUCCCCGAGGAUGUCAAUCAGACACGGAGGAACUUCGCGGUCUAUCACGACACUGACCCAGACCCAGUACUUGACUGUCGGUGGGCUGGUGAAAAAUGGUUUGUUCUGUUCGCAGUAGGUAUGAAUACGACAGUGUGGUUACAGAUAUUACCGUUGUCCAAGUGCCUUCUGCCCCUGGCAACCAGACAAGAAAAUACACCUGUCAGCUGUUAGGAACCAAAGCAACGGGGAUCAAACCUUGCUUCCUUGGCUUUGAUCAGCCCAAGAGUUUUGUCACCCAAAGCAAUUUCGAAUCCUCUGGAACCGAAAAAGACAAUAAGAGGACAACUGAAAUCGUUGUAAAAAUCGUUUUACCUUGGUGAUCGUUCUCUUCAGCAUUUUAGCCGGUUACUUAUUGUGCAUCAGAAGAAGAGGUGUGAAGUGUGGCCAUACGGAGAUAAAAAACUGUCUGGACGGUAAGUGUCGAUGGUCGAGUCUAGUGUCCAACAAGACACGAACGAAUCUCUAACGGAGCUGACAAAGGCAAAAGAUGAUUCGUUUUCAGGAACAGAAUGAGGGCAUACUCAUAGUCAUCGUGCUGCUCAUCAUGUCUGUGUACACUAAAACGAACAAUUAUCAAUUAUUGACAAUUCAUCACUGAUAUAUUGUGAGGUUUAUCGGGUCUUGUUCCUAUUACAUCAUUUAACAUAAAAUCACAUGAACAAAUUGCUGUUGAUCAGUAUCUUGACUUCUGCAGUUUUCCUGUAGAAUAUGUGUAUGUGUUAGAGAGAAAGUGAAAUAUAUAUAAAUAAGCAGAUGUGAGUGACUGCGUGUGUGUGUGUGUGCAAAUCUGACUUAGGAAUGAGAGAGAUGAGCAGAAAUAUCACAUGACCAAAAUCUGUCCUUUUUUUACACGUGUUUGUAUGCUUUGGUUUAUUUAAUUUUAUACGCAUAUAUAUUUUUAAGAGUUUUCAAAUGUCUAGAAGAAGGAAAGAUCAAGGAGUGAUAAAAAAAUUAGUUUGUAAUAUAUUAGCUAUAAAUAUGUGUGUUGGGGUGUGAGUGAGAGGUAUUGUACAUAAAGAGGGAAUGUGUAUAAUAUGUAUAUAUUAAAAUGUAAAAUAUGUAUAUAUGUAUAUAUUAUGCAUAUAUUAAAAAUAU
rnacentral:misc_RNA from 1 species